GGAGGGAGGAGAGGAGCCAAUAAUACAGAAAACUCCUUUGACCAGUUUUGCCGAAAGAGUGGCAAAGAAAUGGAGGUGGAGUAAAGGAGUCGAGUCCUUGAACAGGAAAGACAGGAUGGCACCCACCACCCCAGGGGAGGGUGGUGCUGAUGGGAAGCCAGACGCAGUGGGCAGGUGUGCUUGAAGGCGGCAGGACGAACCGUUCUCAUCAAAGGGAAACAUCAAAAAUAAGCAAGGUCAGCUGAGAACGAAGAGAGGGACUAAGAUUUAAAGUCAUUUUUUUAAAGCCACGGUCUCCCUAAAGUCCUUUAAGUCAGGCAUGUUCCCAGACCACGCCCUGGAUUCCCUGCUUCUGAUUCUGGGGGUGUGCGCAGGCCCGGGGAGCGCUGGGCUCAGCCCAGCCACUCUCUCAAAGCCAGGAGGACAGUGCUCCCUGCGGAGCACCCUGGGAAGACCGGCCAUCACGAGGCCGUGCCAGACCCCGUGGCUGCUGGGAAAUGUGGGUGGCACACUCCAGCAGGCCAAGAAAUGCCUGACUCGGGGCAUUUUAAUUCGGGUUAGUCCCACUCUCUGCUCUGCGUGGCAGCCGGCUCUCUUUGUCUCCUCCCUCUCUUAUAGACACACAACUGAGAAACAAUUUCUAGUUCUGUGGUUGGCACCAAGAAACCCUUCCAGAACUGGUUCCUAAUAGGUUAACUCAAAGGUAGCCAUGAAAGAUUACAAAUGACCAAAGGAAAAUAAGACGGUUACAGGUGCCUUUCUCUCUCUGUCAGUCCACACCAAGGUGGCUGAGAUGCCCCGGAGCAAACAGAUGGGAGGUCUGGAAUCUGACUGCUACCUGCUCACAGGCUGUACGGGGCAGGGCAGCGGGAGGGCUGUGGGAGGGUCCCCAUCCCCUAUUUACAGAGCUGGAUAAGAAUCCCUGCCCCAACAAGGGUAGGAGAGUCCACAAGGUGGGACGGACACAGGGCUGUGAACGUGUCUUUGGGAACUGCCUGACCACGCGGGGCUCCCUGCCGGGCCCGCUCCCUCCCUGCUUAGCACACAGAGCACAGGAGAAUCUGGUUCCUCUGCUCCCCAGGCAACAGCAGCCGCCCUGUGGGCUCCAUGGAGACCAGGUAUAUUUAGACCACAGAAUGUUUAGAACAGCCUCGGCAGUCCAGGAGGUGGAAAUCCAAAAGCAGGAAAAUCCCACGGAGCGAAGCGUGGACGGAUACCUGACUUCAACUCACCUCUUUUAUAAAUGAAAUCCAUGACGGCCCUGGUUACAUGAGCUCGACUCAAACUCUGAGCCCCCUGAGCUGCAGGGCCACCUGAUCCCUGAGCUGCCUCUCACCUGAUGCUGCUGCGGGUGCGCUUUGGGCGAGGGACGAGUCUUAAGGAAAACGAGAGGGCACUGCCUGCCUCGCCUUUGGAAUUCUAUUUACAGUGUGACCACUGCCGGGUCAAAGUGGCCCUGUGGCCCUCUCAGACACCGGCUUUUCUUUCCAAGGCAGAAACUCAGAGGAAAGGCCGAGGUCAAGCCAUGUGCUACCGCUUAUUACCCACCUUUGGCGCUGGGGUGCCCCUAAGCCUUGAUGCCUGAACUCCCCCGGGAGAGGGACCCCACGAGGGUUCAUCCCCAGCAGAGACCACUGGAGAAGAGGUGGUGGGGUUAGAACCACCCAAUGCCCCCCGGGGAGCCCACCAAAAGUGUCCCACACUGGUCUCGCAUGAGCAUUUUGCACUGGCUGCAGGCACAGACUCAUGGAUUUGAAGAGAAGGCUCAUCCUGCAUUCCCUCAAAAAUAAACCAGCAAACACGCAAACAAGGCAGGCAAACUGGAGUCUUGUAAGUCUCAGCAAAACUUCUUAAGAAUAAUAAUGCCCGAUCCAAGGAAUGGAAGGCCAGGGCCGACAGCUUUCCUGUGCGGAAUCUCCACUGGAGUCUAAGACAAGGCUGGUCCUGGCCAGGCUGAAGAAUUUUGGAACCCAAGGGUGCAAGCACCCGUAGAAAUCACCUGGUUACACGGCAGAGUUUCCUGGGGGCUUCCAUGGUUGAGGGGGGGGGGGGCUGGUCCGAGUGAGGCUGUCGGUGAAUCAAAGUUUGACUACCAUACACGCGGAAGAUCAGAAGAAUCGUCUCUCAGCCAGAAUCCUCGUUCUGUCGGCAGGGAGAUCGGGGCCCAGGGAGGCGAAGACACUUCCUGCCCCUCCAGGCCAGUGGCAGCCCCAGGGAGCAGGGGCUUGGUGGGUUCUCGUCACUGCCGGAUCCUAGUGACUGGAAGAGCACCCAGCACGUCACGGUCACUCAGCAAUUAUUUGUUCAACGGACACGUGCUCUGAAGGAGGACUGAGAGGGUGGCUUGAUCAUCUGUUAUAGUUUCAAGACGGACAUCAUGGGGAUGGAAAAGGCCCAGAGAAAAGAAAAGAGCAACAAACAGAAACAUGGUUCGAACCCAGCUCUGCUCUUUAUGAGCCUCACAAGCCUGGCAAGUUCCUUCUCGACACCUCAUCUCCCACAGGUAUGAGAUAGGGCCCGUGGCCUAUCCUGCAAGUUUGUCGUGAGCCUGGCUGAGGAAAUGCGUGUAACCGGCAGGUGCUGAAGAAACUCAAUGGAGGGACUCCUCUGGGAUCAUUACCCCGCUGCCUCCUAUACACCUGGGCAUUUCGUGCCUCGGCAGUCUGUGACACCCAAAAUAAAGAACCUGGGGAGAAAGCGUGA